rnacentral:rRNA from 1 species
UGGGGAAUAUUGCACAAUGGAGGGAACUCUGAUGCAGCGACGCCGCGUGAACGAAGAAGGCUUUCGAGUCGUAAAGUUCUUUUAUAUGGGAAGAUAAUGACGGUACCAUAAGAAAAAGCCCCGGCUAACUACGUGCCAGCAGCCGCGGUAAUACGUAGGGGGCUAGCGUUGUCCGGAAUCACUGGGCGUAAAGGGUUCGCAGGCGGAAAUGCAAGUCAGGUGUAAAAGGCAGUAGCUUAACUACUGUAAACAUUUGAAACUGCAUAUCUUGAGAGGAGUGGAGGUAAGUGGAAAUUUUAGUGUAGCGGUGAAAUGCGUAGAUAUUAGAAAGAAUACCGGUGGCGAAAGCGACUUACUGGGCUCAUUCUGACGCUGAGGAACGAAAGCGUGGGUAGCAAACAGG